CAAGAAAACAUGACGACGAUGUUUUUUUUCUCUCCCCCAACAGCAAUACCAGAACCAGGAGAGGAUCCUCGUGUAACAAGAGCAAAAUACUUCAUUCGGGAUGAGUUUUUGAGGAUCAGCACGGCCAGCGGAGACGGGCGACACUACUGUUACCCCCACUUCACCUGCGCGGUCGACACAGAGAACAUCCGCCGCGUCUUCAACGACUGUCGCGACAUCAUACAGAGGAUGCACCUACGGCAGUACGAGCUCUUGUGAUGCAGAGCUGCGUUUCCGGGCUGACCACCUCUAUCUAUAUAACCCCGACCCCACUUCACAACCAGUUAGUUCACAACCAAUAGAAUCACCCCUGACACGUUCACCGAAUUCACCCAUCGACUGAGUGAACAAAGGACUGAAGCUGCCCCUCCAUCCGCAUUCGAACUCCUCCUAUUGCUGAGCAUCAGGAAAAAAAACACAGCGAGUGGAGAGCCUUUUUACCAAGGAAACACGGUGGAGGAGUUUCAUCAGCCACUUCGACCAAGAACGAAUGGAGUCUCUUCACGCCAGCUUCACCUCCUCACCCGGAGGGACAAACUACAGCAUAAGACCACCAGGUAUAAUUUAACAUCUAUCUAUCACCCACUCAAGGAGACCAUAUGAGAACCAGGACCUCCUGCUACUUACAGAUGACAGAGGGAGAAGCAGAGAAGGAGGGAAGAAAGCCCAGGAGAAGGCGACAAACACUGAGGGUGGUGAGAGCUGACGGGGAUUUUCUGACCACUCUUUGUGCCCUGGAUCGGACUAAUUGAUCACUGGCUGCCUGUGGACCAGAGUGCGACACGGAUAUAAGAUCACACGGCUCAAAUGAACUGCUCCUCAAGAAACCGGUAGUGAAGAGAAGGCAAAAAAAUUAAAAAAAAAAAAAAAAAAAGACUUAAAAAAGCCCCCCUGAAAAAAUAGGAAAAAUACCAUAUAAUGCAUAAUUUCAUGCAGACCAGUGAACAUAGUACAGUGCAAAAAAAAAAAAAAUCCAAGCUAUAUAUCUAGAUAUUUAUAUAUGAGUGUAUAUAAAUAUGUAUAUAUAUAAUUAUAUAAAUAUUAUAUAUUACUAUAAUAACACAAUUCAACUUUUAAUUAUUUGUUAGUUUUUACCCCAUGUUGUGUGUUGGCCUACACUCUGUGUGUAAUCUGCCUAUGUGCACCGUUUGAACCCCCCCCAUCUGCCCCUCACCUGCACACACACCUAAACACACAUGCACAUAUAUAUAUAUACCCACUCCAACCCCUGCUGCUAUUAAACAAAUAAUCAACAUAUGGAAAAUAAGGAGGUUUUAUUUAAUAAGGAAAAAAUAACGCAAGGAAAGCAUGAAGUAAAAGACUGGAUGCAACAUUUUCACCGUGGACAUUCACACACACACACACACACACACACACACACCAUACCUAACAGCCCCUGGCUUUAAGUACGUCUGUCUUUAUUUUACUGCUGGACUAUUAUUCUUGUACAGACUGUAAAAUGUAUUAUUUUGUACAACUUUAUUGAAGAAAAGAAUAACUUGUAGAAGAUCCCUGUGCCUUGAUCGCGACUGUACAUGUAAAAAUGAGCUAAUAUGUAAGUUAUGUUUCACUGCGCUGUACAGCUGGAUUGUUCUCCCACACCUCGUACGUGCUAACGGAGCCCCCCCACCACCACCACCCCUGACCGUGCUUGGGUCCGGCGGGAUAGGGGCGUGAGAUCGGAGCGGAGAUCUUGAAGCUUAGUUUCUUAUUAUUGAUAUUGGUUUUUCUUUUUCCACGUUUGUUCCCUAUUUCAUUUCUUUUGCUUUCACUCUGCUUUGGUUUAUAAAAUAGAAUUUAAUGAAGAAAAAAAAAGGAGGAGGAAAAAGAAGAUGAUGAAGAUGACGAUCAGACGCAUCACCUUAACGCUGUGUAGUGAAAGAUAACGAACCCUAACACAGUUAAUAAUACAUAUUCAUAAAAUAUAUUUUAGGUCGUAUAUAUAUUUUAUUUAUAUGUGUUUCUCCAUUGUGAGCAGCUUUCUUUUCCUUUCUGUCAGUGACAUCUGCCUACAUUAUUUUUAAUGUGGUGAUUCUGGUUUCAGUGGGAUGACUAUUGAUUUUCUUUUUUUUUUUAAGAAAAAAAAAUGAUUUCAUCUUUACCUCUUUUGACGGAGGGGGAAGUAUUCAAUUGCAAAACAUUGCUUGUUUCUACAUAAACCAAAUUCUUUUUGCCUAAA